rnacentral:rRNA from 1 species
UGGGGGGGCCUACAAUGCAAGUCGAGCGGCAGCGACAACAUUGAACCUUCGGGGGAUUUGUUGGGCGGCGAGCGGCGGACGGGUGAGUAAUGCUUGGGAAUAUGCCUUAUGGUGGGGGACAACAGUUGGAAACGACUGCUAAUACCGCAUGAUGUCUACGGACCAAAGUGGGGGACCUUCGGGCCUCACGCCAUAAGAUUAGCCCAAGUGGGAUUAGCUAGUUGGUGAGGUAAUGGCUCACCAAGGCGACGAUCCCUAGCUGGUUUGAGAGGAUGAUCAGCCACACUGGGACUGAGACACGGCCCAGACUCCUACGGGAGGCAGCAGUGGGGAAUAUUGCACAAUGGGCGCAAGCCUGAUGCAGCCAUGCCGCGUGUGUGAAGAAGGCCUUCGGGUUGUAAAGCACUUUCAGUAAGGAGGAAAGGUUAAGUGUUAAUAGCACUUAGCUGUGACGUUACUUACAGAAGAAGCACCGGCUAACUCCG